AUAAUGAUAUCUGGUGCCCUCUU
rnacentral:piRNA from 1 species